rnacentral:rRNA from 1 species
CAGUCGCCGCGGUAAUACAGAGGGUGCGAGCGUUAAUCGGAUUUACUGGGCGUAAAGCGUGCGUAGGCGGCUUCUUAAGUCGGAUGCGAAAUCCCUGAGCUUAACUUAGGAAUUGCAUUCGAUACUGGGAAGCUAGAGUAUGGGAGAGGAUGGUAGAAUUCCAGGUGUAGCGGUGAAAUGCGUAGAGAUCUGGAGGAAUACCGAUGGCGAAGGCAGCCAUCUGGCCUAAUACUGACGCUGAGGUACGAAAGCAUGGGGAGCAAACAGGAUUAGAUACCCCGGUAGUCCCUGUCUCUUAUAA